rnacentral:RNase_P_RNA from 1 species
GGAGUUGGCCAAGACAGUCGCUGCCCGCGAUUGCGGGGGGAGGAAAGUCCGGGCUCCGCAGGGUAGAGUGCCAGGUAACGCCUGGGAGGCGCGAGCCUACGGAAAGUGCCACAGAAAAGAUACCGCCUUGCAGCCUUCGCGGGCCGGAAGGUAAGGGUGAAAUGGUGCGGUAAGAGCGCACCGCGCUUCCGGUAACGGAAGCGGCAGGGAAAACCCCACUCGGAGCAAGACCAAAUAGGGGAGCAAGGGCUGGUCCCAACAUGUGACCCGCAUGGCUCCCGGGUAGGUUGCUUGAGGCGGAUGGCGACAUACGCCCCAGAUGAAUGACUGUCCUUGACAGAACCCGGCUUAACGGCUGACUCCACUU